CCUGGUGAGUAAAGUGGCGUACGGGUGAGUAACACGUGGAUCAUCUACCCCUCGGGAGUGGGGAAUAACGCUGGGAAACCGGCGCUAAUACCGCAUAAUCCCGAGAGGGCAAAGGAGCAAUUCGCUUCAGGAGGAGUCCGCGGCCGAUUAGCUAGUUGGCAGGGUAAAAGCCUACCAAGGCAACGAUCGGUAGCCGGCCUGAGAGGGCACACGGCCACACUGGCACUGAAACACGGGCCAG
rnacentral:rRNA from 1 species